rnacentral:rRNA from 1 species
AUACGGAGGAUCCGAGCGUUAUCCGGAUUUAUUGGGUUUAAAGGGUGCGCAGGCGGCCAUUUAAGUCAGCUGUGAAAGUUUGGGGCUCAACCUUAAAAUUGCAGUUGAUACUGGUUUCCUUGAGUACGGUACAGGUGGGCGGAAUUCGUGGUGUAGCGGUGAAAUGCUUAGAUAUCACGAAGAACUCCGAUCGCGAAGGCAGCUCACCGGGCCGGAACUGACACUGAUGCUCGAAAGUGCGGGUAUCAAACAGGAUUAGAUACCCUGGUAGUCCGCACAGUAAACGAUGAAUACUCGCUGUUUGCGAUACACUGUAAGCGGCCAAGCGAAAGCGUUAAGUAUUCCACCUGGGGAGUACGCCGGCAACGGUGAAACUCAAAUGAAUUGGCGGGG